rnacentral:lncRNA from 1 species
UUCUCACCCAGCCAUUUACUAGCUGUGUGAUCUUGGGAAGGUUUCUUGAUCCGUGAGCCUCAGUUACAUUAUCUAUAAAAUGAAGAUGAUAUUAUUCUCUACAUCACCUGUCUAUUGUGAAAAAUAAGCUUAGAUUAGACACUGAACCACAGCAGGGACAAUUGAGAAAGUUGUGUAAUUAUGGAAUGAAGCAUUCUACAUGUUUUUCAUUUGACCUACAGCACUACAGUGGUCCUGGGACUGUUGAAUUCACUCAAGUAAGAUACAUACAUCCUUGGGCUGAUGAAAACAUCUAUCAGUUUCUCUUUCCUGUUAUUCUGGGUCCCAGAUCACAGGAGAAUACUGUGUCUCAGCGGACAUGCUCAGAGAGACGAGGCCUCACUAUGUUGCCCCGGCUAGUUUCAAGACUUCUG